GCACGUGCCGGCGGCCUACACAUGCAAGUCGAGCGGUAACAGAGAGAAGCUUGCUACUUUGCUGACGAGCGGCGGACGGGUGAGUAAUGCUUGGGAACAUGCCUUGAGGUGGGGGACAACAGUUGGAAACGACUGCUAAUACCGCAUAAUGUCUACGGACCAAAGGGGGCUUCGGCUCUCGCCUUUAGAUUGGCCCAAGUGGGAUUAGCUAGUUGGUGAGGUAAUGGCUCACCAAGGCGACGAUCCCUAGCUGGUUUGAGAGGAUGAUCAGCCACACUGGGACUGAGACACGGCCCAGACUCCUACGGGAGGCAGCAGUGGGGAAUAUUGCACAAUGGGCGCAAGCCUGAUGCAGCCAUGCCGCGUGUGUGAAGAAGGCCUUCGGGUUGUAAAGCACUUUCAGUCAGGAGGAAAGGUUAGUAGUUAAUACCUGCUAGCUGUGACGUUACUGACAGAAGAAGCACCGGCUAACUCCGUGCCAGCAGCCGCGGUAAUACGGAGGGUGCGAGCGUUAAUCGGAAUUACUGGGCGUAAAGCGUACGCAGGCGGUUUGUUAAGCGAGAUGUGAAAGCCCCGGGCUCAACCUGGGAACUGCAUUUCGAACUGGCAAACUAGAGUGUGAUAGAGGGUGGUAGAAUUUCAGGUGUAGCGGUGAAAUGCGUAGAGAUCUGAAGGAAUACCGAUGGCGAAGGCAGCCACCUGGGUCAACACUGACGCUCAUGUACGAAAGCGUGGGGAGCAAACGGGAUUAGAUACCCCGGUAGUCCACGCCGUAAACGAUGUCUACUAGAAGCUCGGAGCCUCGGUUCUGUUUUUCAAAGCUAACGCAUUAAGUAGACCGCCUGGGGAGUACGGCCGCAAGGUUAAAACUCAAAUGAAUUGACGGGGGCCCGCACAAGCGGUGGAGCAUGUGGUUUAAUUCGAUGCACGCGAGAUCUUACCUACACUUGACAUACAGAGACUUACCAGAGAUGGUUUGGUGCCUUCGGACUCUGAUACAGUGCUGCAUGGCUGUCGUCAGCUCGUGUUUGUGA
rnacentral:rRNA from 1 species